rnacentral:rRNA from 1 species
UUGAUCCUACGGGGGGCAGCAGUGGGGAAUAUUGCGCAAUGGGGGAAACCCUGAUGCAGCAACGCCGCGUGAGCGAAGAAGUAUUUCGGUAUGUAAAGCUCUCUCAGCAGGGAAGAAGAAAGACGGUACCUGACUAAGAAGCCCCGGCUAACUACGUGCCAGCAGCCGCGGUAAUACGUAGGGGGCAAGCGUUAUCCGGAUUUACUGGGUGUAAAGGGUGCGUAGGUGGCAGGGCAAGUCAGAUGUGAAAGCCCGGGGCCCAACCCCGGUACUGCAUUUGAAACUGUCCG